rnacentral:rRNA from 1 species
AGAGUUUGAUCCUGGCUCAGGAUGAACGCUAGCUACAGGCUUAACACAUGCAAGUCGAGGGGAAACGACAUCGAAAGCUUGCUUUUGAUGGGCGUCGACCGGCGCACGGGUGAGUAACGCGUAUCCAACCUGCCCAUCACUUGGGGAUAACCUUGCGAAAGUAAGACUAAUACCCAAUGACGUCUCUAGAAGACAUCUGAAAGAGAUUAAAGAUUUAUCGGUGAUGGAUGGGGAUGCGUCUGAUUAGCGUUGGUUGGCGGGGUAACGGCCACCAAGGCGACGAUCAGUAGGGGUUCUGAGAGGAAGGUCCCCCANAUUGGAACUGAGACACGGUCCAAACGUCCUACGGGAGCA